UUUUUUUUUUCUGUAACUAGUUACACUUUUUUGUUUGGCAAAGCCCAAAAUGAAUAGGAAAUCAUGGACGCAGGUAAUGUUUAUUUCGUAUAAUUUUUUUCUUUAUUUGUUGUUUGAUUGUAAUAGUGAAUAGUGAUUUUUGAAAUCGGGUGGCUUGUUUGCAGGAAACUGGGUUAAGCUGUUGAAACAUUUUGAGAAAUAUAAUAAAUUUAAAUUUAUUAGAAAUAUAAUAAAUAAAUUUAAAUUUAUUUAUUUGUGGCAGGUUGUGACCUAUUUUGAAGAGCAACAGGUCACUCUGCAUAUAAGUCUUUGAAUUUAAAGUGUAGUAAGAAAAAAAUAUUUCUCCUGGAUACUUAAAGUUAUCUUGUUAUAUGUUCGGGAAAAGUAUAUAUUCAAAAGUUAUGAUAUUUAGAAUUCUUUUGCAAGUUUCAUUAUUGCAUAGAGUCCUAUAUAUUGUUGAGAUAUAAUUAGUAAUCUAGUAAAUUGAGCAAGAAGUUUAAACUGAAGAAAAGUUGAGAAAGCUUCUGAUUUUUCAUUCAAAAAAUAAAUCCACAUCAUCCUUGUAUAGUCAUCAACAAAAAGAAUGAAAUAUCUCCUGUUAUUGAGAGAGAGAGUCCUUGUAGGACCACAAAUAUCAGCAUGCACCAACUCCAACGGAGCUUUGGCUCUCCAUGAAUUUUUAGGAAAUGGAAGUCUAUGCAUUUUUCCAUAUAUACAGCCCUCGCAAACUUUUUCAUAUCUUCCAACAUCAGGUAAGCCAAUCACCAUGUUCUUUUGCUUGAGUUUACUAGAUUACUAAUUAUAUCUCAACAUAUAUAUUACACAAUUCUGGAAAUAGUUUGAUCUAUUUUUCUAUUAGUCUCAAUAGAUUCUUAUUCACCCUGCAAUUUCCAUUGCUGAUUUUGUCGUUCUAUUAGUUGCUUGUUUUAAAUUAUUUUCAUUUUCAAUGAAUUUUGGUCUUGGUUGUGCAGGAAUUGGCAUUGUGAUAAUUUGAGGUUUAUUGCUAACGCUAUCAUGGAUUGACGAAUUGGAUUUGGUUAUGAACUGAGUUAGCCAUCGGUUAUUAGCAGUUUCUGAACAAGGAGCAAGAAGAUACCAGUGAGGACCUGGAUUUCAGAAGCAAUUCUUUUAUUUUGCUUUUAUUUUGAAUCAUUAGCAUUUUCUUUUUCUCGUUUGGUUUCAGAUAUUGGUGGCAUUGGGUAGUGGGUUUGUUUCUCGAAUCAUGAUGAUGCCAAUGUGAUUGCAAACAGCAGAGUCUAAAAUUUAUACGACCUUGUGAUUUGUCCUAUAUUUUUUUACUAAUGUUUGCUUAAUUUUUUUUCCUUUUUGUUCUUUUUUGAGUGAUCUCCAUAAUUAAUCAAGAACCAAAAUAUC
rnacentral:lncRNA from 1 species